rnacentral:sRNA from 1 species
AUAAACGAGUGACUUGAGUUCUAUUCUAUUAAAUGUUCUUGUUUUAGACCAAGUGUCGUUAACUCAAUUGAUAAAGACACUAGGCGAAGUUUAGAGAUCGCCUGUUCGAGUGACACUUGGGACGAAACUAAUAUUAAAGUUCUUGUUUUAGUCCGGUGUGGAAGGUAUCUAACAAAAUCUUUUUGUUGGUCAUUGAUUGGUGACA